CUUAAGGGAAAAAUCACUCUGUGUUCUUUUAAAAAUACCUCAGGUUUUAUGUUUUAUUGCUACCAGAGUCUGCCUCCCUGAGGUUCUUGUAUAGACUAGUUAUUUCCCUGUGUAAAGAAGCUGUUCAGUUCAUUCUCGCCUGGUUUGGAACGAAAUGAACAGUUCCAAAGGAAGCAGUUCUUGCAGCCUCCUCAUCUUCCACUCCCCUCCUCCCCGCAGUCCUGGCUGAAGCAGCGAGUCUGUCGAUCCCAGGCCAGAGACAAGGCAGACAAAGGUUCAUUUGUAAAGAAGCUCCUUCCAGCACCUCCUCUCUUCUCCUUUUGCUCAAACUCACCCAGUGAGUGUGAGCAUUUAAGAAGCAUCCUCUGCCAAGAAGACCAAAAGGAAAGAAGAAAAAGGGCCAAAAGCCAAAAUGAAAUUGAUGGUACUUGUUUUCACCAUUGGGCUAACUUUGCUGCUAGAAGUUCAAGCCAUGCCUACAAAUCGACUCUCUUGCUACAGAAAGAUACUAAAAGAUCGCAACUGUCACAACCUUCCGGAAGGAGUAGCUGACCUGACAGAGAUUGAUGUCAAUGUCCAGGAUCAUUUCUGGGAUGGGAAGGGAUGUGAGAUGAUCUGUUACUGCAACUUCAGUGAACUGCUCUGCUGCCCAAAAGACGUCUUCUUUGGACCAAAGAUCUCUUUCGUGAUUCCUUGCAACAUUCACUGAGAAUCUUCAUGUAUUCUGGAGAACACCAUCCCUGAUUUCCCACAAACUGCACUACAUCAGUAUAACUGCAUUUUUAGUUUCUAUAUAGUGCAAUAAAGCAUAGACUCUAUAAAUUCUUACUUGUCUAAGACAAGUAAAUCUGUGUUAAACAAGUAGUAAUAAAAGAUAAUGCAGUCUAA